GACGAACGCUGGCGGCGUGCUUAACACAUGCAAGUCGUACGGUAAGGCCCUUUCGGGGGUACACGAGUGGCGAACGGGUGAGUAACACGUGAGUAACCUGCCCACAACUUUGGGAUAACGCUAGGAAACUGGUGCUAAUACUGGAUAUGUGCCCCUGCUGCAUGGUGGGGGUUGGAAAGCUCCGGCGGUUGUGGAUGGACUCGCGGCCUAUCAGCUUGUUGGUGGGGUAGUGGCCUACCAAGGCGGCGACGGGUAGCCGGCCUGAGAGGGUGACCGGCCACAUUGGGACUGAGAUACGGCCCAGACUCCUACGGGAGGCAGCAGUGGGGAAGAUUGCACAAGGGGCGCAAGCCUGAUGCAGCAACGCCGCGUGCGGGAUGACGGCCUUCGGGUUGGAAACCGCUUUCAGCAGGGACGAAGCUUUUUGUGACGGUACCUGCAGAAGAAGCACCGGCUAACUACGUG
rnacentral:rRNA from 1 species